AUUUUUCCUAGGCAUAUCAUGCACAAUAGAAGAACUAGAAGCAUGCAUAGCAUAUGAAUCAUAAGAGUAAUUCCUAUAAGCAUUUCUAGAGAAUUUUCUAUCACUAUAAAUGAAAGCAUGAUUCUUUUGAACACUAUUAGCCAUAGGGGCCUUCCCUUUCUCCUUGGCGGAGAUGGGAGCCUUAUGACUUGUUAAGUUCUUGACUUCCCUCUUAAAGCCAAGCCCAUCCUUAAUUGAGGGGUGUCUACCAACAGUGUAGGCAUCCCUUGCAAAUUUUAGUUUAUCAAAUUCAUUUUUGCUAGUCUUAAGUUGGGCAUUAAGACUAGCCACUUCACCAUUUAGUUUUGCAAUAGAAGUAAGGUGCUCAACACAUGCAUCAACAUUAAAGUCCUUACACCUAUUGCAUAUCACUACAUGUUCU
rnacentral:lncRNA from 1 species